UACGAAGGGGGCUAGCGUUGCUCGGAAUCACUGGGCGUAAAGGGUGCGUAGGUGGUGGGGUAAGUCGGAUGUGAAAUCCCGGGGCUCAACCCCGGAACUGCAUUCGAUACUGCCUUGCUCGAGUACUGGAGAGGAGACUGGAAUUUACGGUGUAGCAGUGAAAUGCGUAGAUAUCAUAAGGAAGACCAGUGGCGAAGGCGGGUCUCUGGACAGUUCCUGACGCUGAGGCACGAAGGUCAGGGGAGCAAACGGG
rnacentral:rRNA from 1 species